UGAAAACCAAGUAAACGUUCUACUUGAUGAACACAUGACUGCCCAUCUUGGUGAUUUUGGGUUAUUCAAGAAAAAUUUAUUCAGCUGUAUAUUUUUCACAUAAAUCCCAUUAUAUAUAAUCCCAGCAUAUAAUCGGGUCUAACAAACUUUCUCUCUUUCAGAAUCAUUUGUUCAGAUUGAAAGUAGCUUGAUUGGAAUAAAAGGAACUGUUGGGUGUGCAGAUCCAGGGUAUGGAAUGGGAAGUUAGACAUCAGCAAAUGGCGAUGUGGGAUUCUUCUAUUAUAGAUGUUUCCCGGGAAUGGCAUGUCCAAGGAUGGCCUAGACCUUCACAACUUUGCGAAGAUGGCUUUACCUGAACAACUAAUGAAAAUAGUUGAUCCUGUACUUGCUUCUACUAGAAAUUUGCUAGGAAAAAUACUGCGUGUAAACGAAUACAUUUAUUUGAAAGAAAUUAAAAUUGUUUUUUAUUAAAUUAAUAUACAGAAUAUUUAUCAGGUCAAUGAGACUAAAUGACUAAACUUCAUUUGUCAUGUGG
rnacentral:misc_RNA from 1 species